rnacentral:lncRNA from 1 species
UCUCUCAAGACUCUGCUUUCUGUUCUUCCCAGCUUGAUUUUUGCAUUUAUCUUUGUAUCUUUUUUCUUUCUUUUUUUCUGAGACCGAGUUUCACCCUUGUUGCCCAGGCUGGAGUGCUCAAUCUCUGCUUACUGCGACCUCUGCCUCGCGGGUUCAAGUGAUUCUCCUGCCUCAGCCUCCCGAGUAGCUGGGAUUACAGGCAUGCGCCACCACGACCAGCUAAUUUUGUAUUUUUAGUAGAGAUGGGGUUUCUCCAUGUUGGUCAGGCUGGUCUCAAACUCCUGACCUCAGGUGAUCCACCUGCCUCAGCCUCCCAAAGUGCUGGGAUUACAGGCAUGAGCCACUGCACCUGGCCCUUUUUUUCUUUAUUACUUUGCUUUUAUUCUGAAUCUGAAGAUGUGUUCUUUUUUCCAUGUUGACAAUAUAAUUUAAAAGUGAACGUUUCUUUUACGGUCUGCAUCCUUUACAGUAAGCUAAACAUUUUUGGUUACAUUUGUUGAAAACAGUAUGAAAGAUUCAAUGGCUUUAUGUCACUGACAAAUUUUCAUUUUGGACAACACGCUAGUGUGAGUAGUUUCUGGUUCAGUGAAAUCCAGUUUUCAGAUAUUCCUAUUUUUGGAUUCUCAGCUGUGUAUUUGAAAUCAUCACAUUUGAAAUUUGUUUGUUCCAGAACAUAUAUGUUCUCAUUCUUGUUUGUACUUGAGUCAUGUUUAAUCACAUAUAUUUGUAGUAUGCUUAGAUGUAGUAGUUUCCAUUUUCAUAACUACUUUUCUGUUGAUCCAUUAUGGUGAAUUGCAGCUACAAAGUCAUACUGUGUAGUAGCGAAAAUGCUAACAUAAGAAGUAAAUAGUAGCAAGCAAAGGAUUUUUAAAAUAUCCAACCUAGUCAUAUAUACCCAUUUAGCUCAGUAGUUCUCAGCUGUGGUAAUACCAUUCUCUGGUGUGCAUUUUUGAAAUUCAUGAGAACAUUUUUGUUUGGCACCAUAGUAGAGGUCGUUACAGGCAUUUAAUGGACGGGGUUUAGGUCUGCUAGAUGUCUUGCAGUGUGCAGGAAAGUGCUACAGCGAAUAACUAUUCUGUCUCGUAUGGUGUUUCCUGUGCAUGUCUUUUAUUUUUCUGCUCCUGAGUUGUAUCCUUUAUAAUAAACCAACAAUAGUAAGUAAAUUGUUUUCCUGAGUUCAGUGAGCCAUCCUAGCAAAUGAUCAAACCUGAGAAAGGGAUUGUGGAGACCCCCAACUUUGUAGCUGAUGAGUCAGAAGUACGGGUGACCUGGACUUGAUACUGGCACCUGAAAUAGAGGCAAUCUCCUUCAUAGUUUGGCUGCUUAUAAAUUCUCAGCUCACAUUUCGUUUUCUCUAUUAUGUUCUUCCAUAGAGCGUUGCUGUCAGAGACUAAUGAUAUUCUCUUUAGUUAUUGUUUUUAGUUUUUGUUAUGGUUCCUUGCUUUGAUUUUCUUCUUUGGGGGAUAGCACCUCAGGCUCUUGCUCAUCAAUUAUUGUUUUAGUGAUUUAUAGGUGUAGCUGUUGCAAAAGGAAGGUGGUCACACAGCACAUAGCUGCCAUGACUUAAAAAGAAAAAAAACCUGUGCUGUUGGCUUGCUUACUUCUCCAUUGUAUGUUGGCAGGACUAGAUUUACUUAACAUCAGACUACUAGAGUAUGUAUAUAGAUACAUAUAAUUCAACACAUAUCACCAAAACAGUUUCUUGAGCAUUCUAAAAUUGUUUAGGAGAAUUUUUUAGGUGCUUCAUGGUAAACCCUUGGCUUUUCUGAUUUCCUUGGGUCAAUUUCCUCUGCCUACAUCACAGGAGGCUGCCACAUGUGUUCUCACAUUUACUCCUUGAAGAGCCAUCAAUAAAGGGUACAUUGAUAACUUGCACAGUCAUGAGUAAUUCAGUUUGAGUAGCUAGGUUUAUCCUGUUUGGGGAACUGACUCUCACUGUGGGGUUUUCUUCUCCCUCUGGCCUUUUUUUUCCCCGUGUGUGUGUGUGUGUGUGUGUGUGUGUGUGUGUGUGUGU